rnacentral:misc_RNA from 1 species
GUGAAUCAUCAAAUUUUUGAACGCAAAUUGCACUCCCUGGUAUUCCGGGGAGUAUGCCUGUUUGAGGGUCGUUAGAAUCCAAACUCGAGGCGUCGCUCUUUUUUUUAAGGGCGAUCGCGACGGAAUUUAGCCUUCUUUCACAUUUUAAUUCAUUUCAACGUGGCUUCAACUUCUUCCUUCCGUUUCGACUAAAGCGUAUUUA